UAAGCCCAUGGGUGUGUUGGGAUUUAAACUCUGUACCUCAAUGCUUCUGAUCAUUUCGUGGUAGGUUGAUACUCCUCGCAGGCUAAUUUAGCAUCUCUUUAUUAUUGCUUUAUUGAACUUGCAUACAUUCGCAGGCUUAUUUGCUCAAUUUAAGCUUGUAAACCUUUGUCAAGUAGAAGGACAGAUAGAACAAUUUAGAGAAGGACGUCACGACGAAUACAUCCAGGGUUAGGAAGGGAUUCGAACCAGCUACCUCAACGCUUCACACUGCGUUUGACAGGCGGUACCGCUCGGCCAGGGAGGCCUCUUAGCAUCUCCGCAAAUUUGAAAGUAAAGAAGAAAAAAAAAACAGUGGACGGAAGCGUUCUCACGUGAAGUAGUCGUUCUAUAAAAGCGAUUCAUUUUGUGUUUCUUUUCUUUCUGUACAAAACACUGUAUCUUUUGAGUGUACGGAAAAGUGUGUUGUGUUUCUAGGUUUAUGAUCAAACUUUGGAUGGGCGUUUUCGCUUCGUCGUAGUUUAUUUCUCUUAACACAUUGCGAACACCUGAAGUGCUCAAAUUUCAACUGUGCCUAGUAAAAAGCUACUUUUCCUAUACUAGAAAAAACUGGUUUCCUAUACUAGGUAAACUGUUUAUUUCUAUUUGUACUGAUUAACCUUAACAAAGUACACAUCAAUCAGCACCCGCUCUUUCAUUUUAUGCAAUUACAUCAGUUGAAUAUUAUCGUAAAUUAAAGUUAUGCAGCUUAAACUAUUUUUACAAAUUGUUUACUUUUCUGCAAGAAAUGUUGGUUAAUAUCUGUGUUCUAUGGUACAAAGAACAAAUAUGUAGAAAUUUUCAAAUAAAAAUUACCCAAAGUCUUAAAUUAGAAUCUUAUUUAAAAAAAUUAAUGCAGACAUUUAUAUCUUACAUCUGCAAUAGAAAACCUCAAUGAAUUAGCUUUAACACCACUUUAUACACUAUUUGAGAAUUGUCGUGAACAACUUUUAUUUUGCAUAGUUUGGAUACCGCUAGUAGUUUGCUAACAUUAAAGUAGGACAUAGCUUAAAUUUCUUCCAUGCUGCUGAAAUUCUAAGUAAAAAAAAUUCACUGUUUCAAAAUGUGUGUUUUCAGUUACAUAAUAAGGAUAAUUAUAAUUUUCGAACAGCUGUAAAUUUUAUUCAUUAUAUAACUUCCUGUUAAGCUUAAUUCGACUUCAUAUCUGUACUAUGUAGGCCUCAUUUCUAAAAUUGUAAAUUUUUAAAUUGUGUGUUUGCCUCCUAUGCUAUUAUUUUAAAUUGAUAAGUUUAUUGAGUAAUGUGCAUCUUAUCAUACUCUCGUAAAUUUUAGUGUUUACUUAACAGCUAAGUUGGUGUCAACUAUUUUACAUCAAAAGUAGAAUAUCGGAACAUUCAAAGUGCUUCUUUUAGUAACUUUUAGUGUUGAGAUACACUUUAAGGGUUGAGAUUUUAUGAGGCGUUAAAUGGGUUAUAACUAUUCAGAUUAGCUCCUCGAAACAAUCAACGGGAACUCACUGUGAGGCGUUAAAGUGUUUUAGAUGUCUAAUAGAUGUCCUCUUUCUCGCCAAGAUUUCCCAGCUGUUCACUUCUAGUGUUUUGAAA